AAACAGUUUGCUGACUUUGGCAAGCCAUCACCGUUCCUUUUGCAGCAGAAGGAGGCGCUUGAGAGGCGUCUGGAGGAGCUGCUGGGCUCUGAUGGGGUGCUACUGUACCCCCUAAUCCCUGGGUGGCCCCCAAACACCACCACCAACUCUUCAGACCCUUCAACCUUGCCUACACAGGCAUUUUCAACGUCCUUGGUUUGCCGAUUACCCAGUGUCCUCUUGGGCUGAGCAGAGAGGGGCUGCCGCUGGGUGUGCAGGUGAUUUCCUGGAAACUGCAGGACCGCCUGACAUUGGCCACCGCCUUGUACCUGGAGAAGGCUUUUGGGGGAUGGAGGGACCCAGGGGAAUCCUGACUGAGGGGCCACCAGGGAGCGCCCCAGCUGGACAGCCACAGUGACCCACUGUGGUAGUUCAAGAGUGAAUAUUUGUGGUGUUAUUCAGUAAAAUCAGAUACUCACCUUUA